rnacentral:rRNA from 1 species
CGAAGCUAACGCGUUAAGUGUUCCGCCUGGGAGUACGGACGCAAGGCUAAAACUCAAAGGAAUUGACGGGGAAACGCACAACCGCGUCCCAUGUGGUUUAAUUCGAAACGAAACGAAGAACCUUACCUAGGUUUGACGUACCGACUCGUACGUCUUGGAAACAAGAUGGUCAGUUCGGCUGGAUCGGUGACAGCUGCUGCAUGGUUGUCGUCAGCUCGUGUCGUGAGCGUCCUUUUAAGUAAGGUAACGAGCGCAACCCCUGUCGUAUGUUAAAUGUUCAUGCGAGACUGCUUUGGUGCAACCAAGGAGGAAGGAGGGGACGACGUCAAAUCAGCAUGGACGCUUACAUCUAGGGCUACACACAUGGGGUAAUGGCGAAUACAACGGGUCGCGAGGGAGUAAUCCGGAGCUAAUCCUUUAAAAUUCGCCUCAGUUCGGAUUGUGGGCUGCAAUUCGCCCACAUGAAGGGGAGUCGGUAGUAAUCGCAGGUCAGCUAUACUGCGGUGAAUACGUUCUCGUUUCUUGUACACACUGCCCGUCAAGUCAACAAAGUCAGCAGUGCCCGAAGUCGGAACCUCCUCGGAGGCCGCCUAAGGCAAGGUUGGCGAUGGGGGCUAAGUCGUAACAAGGUAACC